ensembl:misc_RNA Metazoa_SRP Metazoan signal recognition particle RNA
GCCAAGCACGGUGGUAUGUGCCUAUAGUCCCAGCUACUGGGGAGGCUAACGUGGGAGGACCACUUGAGCCCAGGAGUUCUGGUCUGUAGUGCGCUAUACCGACCGGGGGUCCGCACUAAGUUUGGCCUCAAUAUGGUGACCUCCUGGGAGCAGGGGACCAUCAGGUUGCCUAAGGAGGGGUCAACCAGUCCAGGUCAGAAACGGAGCAGGUCAAAACUCCCAUGCUGAUCAGUAGUGGGAUUGUGCCUGUGAAUAGCCACUGCACUCCAGCCUGGGCAACAUAGCUAGAUUCCAUCUCUA